rnacentral:lncRNA from 1 species
CUGUGUUUAAAAUGGCGCAUGGCGCACCAAGGCGAGACGUGCCGAGCCUUGCGCCUCGCGCCAUGGCGCAAUAUGGCGCUCGCCUUGAAGAAAAUUUUAGUUACGUCAUUUUAGUUACGUCUUGUUUUGUUUUGUAUUGGAGAAGAAACUUAGAGAACACUUAUGCAAUGAUUGAUAUACUAAAUUUAAAUAAGAUGCAAGCUUUAUUAUACUAGAGAGUUCUAACCUUAAGCAAAAAACCUUGAGAUCUAGAUCUAUGUUUUACGUAACUUCUCUUUUAUAAAGCUAGGGUUUGGCGUUUAAGUUUCCCCGGUUAAGUUUUUUUAAAGUCUAAGGUUUAAUUUUUUUUUUUUUUGAGCAAAAAAGUCUAAGGUUUAAUUAUUAAUUAAGGCUUAUAUGGUUUAGAUACGGUUUACAUUAAUCUCGCCUUACGCUCGCCUUUGCCAUGCUCGCCUUCUCGACAAGGCACCCAUGGCGCGCGCCUUAGGGAACCCACCCUCGCCUAGGUGGUACAUGGCGACAGAGCCAUCGCCUGAGUGCGCCUUGCGCCAUGGCGCAAAAGGCGAGCGCCAUUUUAAACACAGGACCUAAUGGUACAUCGUGUUCUUGACGCCCACUGGGGACUUCUCACCGAAGAAGAUGUAAGUGAACUUGUUGCUAGAUUAGAUAUAUGUAGAUUUUAUUGAUACUGCCGUAGGUUGUUUUGUUUCCUUGAUGAUAGUUCUUUCUUUUCUAAUCUUUCAGACGAGUGGACUACGGUCACAUACUCUAUCUUUGCUUGUAAACGAUGUUCCAGGAGUCCUUAAUCUCGUAACUGGUGUUUUCUCUCGAAGGGGAUACAACAUUCAGGUAUUGUGUCCUUAUCUCUCUCUCUCUUUCACACACACAUAGUGUUUUUGCUGAUACACUGACCGAUCUUCUUUUUUUGGUUUAGAGCUUGGCUGUAGGACAUGCUGAAACAGAGGGAAUUUCACGCAUUACAACAGUUGUACCUGCAACAGAUGAAUCAGUCAGCAAAUUGGUGCAGCAACUUUAUAAACUCGUAGAUGUGCAUGAGGUAAGAUCACCAAAAAAACAACUGUCUUUAGUAUAUAUUUAAACAGUGUGAAUGCUCUUGAUGAUGUCUCUACCCUUUGCUCUUUUACCUUUUGCUAUUUGUAAACUGUAUCAAUAUCUUUCCAAGCAGUUAUUAAUCUUGUGGGGGGUUUUCCGCAGGUCCAUGAUCUUACUCAUAUGCCAUUUGCUGAAAGAGAACUGAUGCUGAUUAAGAUUGCUGUGAACGCUGCUGCGAGAAGAGAUGUCCUGGACAUUGCUAGUAUUUUCAGGGCUAAAGCUGUUGACGUAUCUGAUCAUACUAUUACUUUGCAGGUAAAUUGCAUUCAUCAUAAACUUAAAUUUCUAUUCGAGGUGUAAUUUUCCAUUUAAAUCCUUUUCUCCCUUUGUUUUUUUUGGUAUUUGUUGCUGAAAUUUGUUUGCUGUGGAAUUAGCUUACUGGGGAUCUUGACAAGAUGGUUGCACUGCAAAGGUUGUUGGAGCCCUACGGUAUAUGCGAAGUUAGUUUUCAUCUCUUACUCUAUGUUAUAACUUGCAAUGUCUUAGUGCUAAUAAAUAAGUCUGGUAAAACAAAAACCAAAGCCUGAUUCAUUUUCUAAUGUCUUGUUGUGCUUAGAACACAAAUCAGUUUGAGAAACGUAGGUUACUUGUAUAACGUAUGCAUCGUGUUGAUGUCUACUAAUUUGCAAUGAAUCAAUCGUAGGUUGCAAGAACUGGGCGCGUGGCAUUGGCUCGUGAAUCAGGAGUGGACUCUAAGUAUCUUCGUGGAUACUCUUUUCCCUUAACAGGUUAACAACCCAAUCUCAGAGUAGGAUACAAAACAUGUAUCCAUGGAACAUCAAAAAAUACUUUUGAAAUUAAAAGUUUUACCAAAAAAUAGUUUCAUUAAAUAUUUUGCGAGCCAACCCAAAGUCUUGCCAGAGAGAGAGACUGUGUGUAGAUAUGUUUGGGACUUUGUUUAUUUUAUAAUUAGUAGAUUUUUGAAUUUUGUGACUUCAUUUCAGUUCCUUUAUUUUGAGAAUAAACUGUUGUUGGGACUAAUAUUGGCUCGUCGUCCUUUUUUCCCAAUCUCCUAUCCUUUCCUACCCCAUAUAUAUUCCUGUGAUGAUAUCUAACAGCAUAGUUUCUUACAGAAAAUAAUUAUGAGAGAAGAAAAGUAUAAUAUAUAUACUUUAAAAACACAUACCAAUAUACUUUAAAGUAUAAUAUAUAUAUACUUUAUAGUAUAUAUAUUACUUUAAACACAUACCAAUAUACUUUAAAGUAUAAUGUAUAUACCAAUAUACUUUAAAGUAUAAUGUAUAUACCAAUAUACUUUAAAGUAUAUACAUUAUACUUUAAAGUAUAAUAGAUAUACUUAAAAGUAUAAAGUAUAAUAUAUUUAUAUAAAGUAUAAUAUAUCAAUAUUCAAUAUAUGUAUUAAAGUUCAGAAACUCAUUUGAAAAGGAUCCAUUAAUAAUGAUGCUUAAAUGACUUAAGAUCACAGAUGGACUGACUUCGUAAAUGUUUUGGACUGAUAAUAUGUCCAUACUUAUUUUCUAGUAAGAAAUUCGAAUUGCUUACAGUAUUAAAUUAUGUAUUUUUUUAAAAAAAAUUAACAGUUUUGCGGAUACUAAUGAAACACAAGAGAUGUAAUAAGUAAAAAAGUAAAAAUAUAUAAUAUCUUUAAUAUGCAACGAAACACACAAAAGAUCUUUACAGAAGCAGAACAAAUGCCACAAAUCAGGGUUAGGAAAAUAAACCGCUGUAAUAUCUUAUAAUUAACCCGUCGCAAAUAUCUUGCAAAUGCAAUAAUUUUCAAACGUUGUGCGAGUUAUAUAAAACGCUUAAUAACGUUUGAAACCGUAACUAUCUGCAUCCGCAAACUUCCGCAUUCGCAAUACAAUCGCUGCGUUUGAACCAAUCGGCCCUAGGCGACGCAUGUUAGGGUCUUCUGAUGUCUUCCCAAGUUAUACGUUUGAGAAAUCAACUAACUUUAGCGCCAUUAAGUUCUCCAAUCAAAAAUAUAAAAAGACUUUCACGUAGCUCUCUUUAUUUAUACCACCAACCUUCUCUCUCACUUUUCGUACACCAAAAUAAUUCUCUUCAAAAGUUUUCAUAAACACCAUGUCUGAAUCUCGUGUGCGUUUGCAUUUUCUCUUGCUAAGCUUGCUCUGUUGUGUCUCCACUUCAAGUUCUUUCAAUUUAAACUUCGAUAAUAGUAGUUAUGUUGUUUGUGGUCCCCAUCAGACUCAAGCUCUCACUGAGUUCAUGAACGAGUUUGAUAGCAGCCACUGCAACCUCAGUGAUCCCUUUAAUGGAAUCUGGUGCGAUAACUCGACCGGUGCGCUCACAAUGCUACGACUUAGUGCCUGUCUCAGUGGAAACCUUAAGUCCAACAGUAGCCUAUUCCGGUUAUACCAUCUUCGUUACCUUGUCCUCCGUCAAAACAACUUCACCUCAGCUACACUUCCUUCAGAAUUUGGCAAUCUCAACAGGUUAGAGUUGUUAUCCCUUUCCAGUAAUGGCUUCGUCGGCCAAGUUCCUUCCUCAUUUAAUAACCUAAGCCUUCUUUCCGUUUUAUACCUUUCCCAAAAUGAGCUUACCGGUAGUAUCCCACUUGUACAGAAUCUAAAAAAGCUCUCGUUUUUAAACCUUAAUUAUAAUCAUUUCUCUGGAACUCUGAAUCCCAACAGUACUAGCUUGUUUGAGUUGCACCACCUCCGUUACCUUGGUCUAGGUUACAACAACUUCAGUUCAUCAAUCCCUUCUGAAAUUGGAAACCUCAACAGGCUAGAGGUAUUGGCUCUUGCCUUUAAUGACUUUUUCGGGCAAGUUCCUCCAACAAUAAGUAACCUAACCUUGUUAACCCAAUUGUACCUUUACAAUAACCAGCUCACUGGUAGUUUACCACUUGUAGGUAACCUAACCAAUCUCUCAAUUGCAUAUUUCAGUGACAAUCACUUUUCUGGAACCAUUCCAUCUUCUCUAUUCAAUAUGCCUUUCUUGUCAGAUCUUGUUCUAAGUGGAAACGAUCUUACCGGAUCUUUUAUAAUUCCUAACUCUUCUGCCCCAUCUAGGCUCAACUACCUGUUCCUUGGAAAUAACCAUUUUGAAGGACAAAUCAUAGAGCCUAUCUUAAAGCUCAGAAACCUCACAAAUGUAGGCCUUUCUUUCCUAAACACAAGCUCCCCAGUUGACUUAAGACUCUUCUCCGCACUAAAGUCUCUGUCCUACCUCGAUCUUUCCGGUAAUAGUUUAUCUCCAGCCAGUCUAGAUACAAAUCUAGACAUCCCAGCAAACUUGGAGUAUUUGCAGUUAUCAGACUGCGGCAUGAACGAGUUCCCAAAUAUCUUAAAGAACCUUGAGAAGUUGGAGUUUAUUGAUUUCUCCAACAACAGAAUCAAAGGGAAAGUCCCCGAGUGGUUAUGGAACCUUCCUCGUCUAGACACCGUGAUUGUUUCAUAUAAUUUGAUUAAUGGUUUCGAAGGUCCAGUGGAGGAGGUAUUGGUAAAUUCAUCGUUGAAGAUUUUAUAUCUGGACAAUAACUAUUUUGAAGGAGCAAUUCCUAUUCUGCCACUGUCAAUCAACAUGCUGGAUGUACGCUACAAUAGAUUCACAGGGAGCGUGCCUCUUUCAAUCUGCAAUUGUAGAUCUCUCACGCAUCUGUGGCUACCUUACAACAACCUCACGGGUCCAAUUCCUCAAUGCUUGAGUAACUUGACAAUUUUGAAUCUCCGGAAGAACAACUUUGAAGGAAGUAUUCCUGACGCCUUUUAUAUUGGUGCUUCUCUAAAGACACUUGACGUUGGACACAAUCUACUAACUGGGAGACUUCCAAGAUCUCUUCAAAACUGUUCAUCUCUAGAGUUUCUAGUUGUUGACCACAACAUGAUUGAAGACACGUUUCCUUUCUGGCUCAAGGCUUUACCCAAUUUGCAAGUCCUUGUCCUCAGUUCAAACAAGUUUUAUGGAUCUAUAUCUCCUCCUGAUCAAGGUCCUCUCGGGUUUCCAGAGCUGCGUAUAUUUGAAAUAGCUGAUAAUAAGUUUACUGGAAGCUUGCCACCAAGAUACUUUGUGCACUGGAAAGCAUCGUCAAUUACAAUGAAUGAAGAUGGUGGUCUAUAUAUGCUAUACGGACAAUUUAGGUCUGGAAGAUUGUACCUUACAUUUGUAGAUACCAUAGAUUUGCAAUACAAAGGUCUAUCCAUGGAGCAAAAGAUGGUUCUUACUUCCUACGCUACCAUUGAUUUUUCUGGGAAUAGAAUUGAAGGAGAGAUUCCUGAAUCAAUUGGUCUCUUGAAAGCAUUGAUUGCACUCAACUUAUCAAACAACGCCUUCACAGGCCAUAUUCCUCUGUCUUUCUCCAAUCUGCGAAAGCUCGAGUCACUAGACCUAUCAAGCAACCAACUCUCAGGGACUAUUCCUAGUGGACUUGGAAGCCUCUCGUUUUUGGCGUAUAUAAAUGUGUCUCACAACCAACUCAAAGGAGAAAUACCACAAGGAACACAAAUUACUGGGCAAGCUAAAUCUUCGUUCGAAGGGAAUGCAGGGCUUUGUGGUCUUCCUCUCCAGGAAACUUGCUUUGGGACUGAUGCACCACCGACACAACAGCCUAAGGAAGAAGAUGAUGAUGAUGAAGAAGUGUUGAACUGGAAAGGUGUGGCAAUAGGAUAUGGACCUGGAGUGUUGCUUGGACUUGCAAUAGCACACCUCAUUGCAACUUACAAACCGGAGUGGCUCGUUAAGAUAAUUGGUCCGAACAAGCGCAGAAACCGUUAAAAUUGUUUUCAAUUUGAGUAUAAUCCUUCAAUGUGUAUGUCAAAUUGGUUGAUGUGAUUCCUCUUGUAUGGAAGCAUCUCUUUAUGUUUGUUGUAUCAUUGUCUGAUGCUUUGUUUCUAUUUCGUUUUCUAUAAAGUAAGAAGGGUGAACGUUUUGUAGUCAAUUUCAUGUGCAUCUCUAUUUUUUUUUCUACUGAGUAAAAUGGCAGACGGAAGGAAGAUGGUAAAAGGGGGUCAUAUUGGGAUUUAGUAGUUUUCAAUAAGAAGAAGCCAAUAAACUGUUGAGACCUAAUGGGAUAUAGAGACAACUAAUAAAUUAAAUGGCCGUUUUGUAAAGGAUGCUUUGUGAUUAUGUCACUUAUUAAUUUGAAGUUGCCUGUAAGAAAUGAUUGCUGUAGAAAGAAAUUUGAGAAAGUUGCAGAUCAGAGAGAUUGUCAGAACAGGAAAGGUAGUGAACAGGAAAGCACCUGCUAGUGUUCUUCGAGGUAGCAAAAAAAGGAGCUGUGGUUCCUCCAACUGAAAAAACAACAGGGGUGUGUGUGCUUCUCUUCUCUCAAAAAAAUUCAAUACCCUUUUUUUUCUGGCCCUUGCUAAAUUAAAUCUCUUUCACAAGUUUGCUGUUCACCCAGUGUUAAAAGUUUUGUUUGCUUUUAAAUGCAGGGAGAUGUUUAUCCCGUUGAGCAAGCUUCUGACCUAAUGGUACAUCGUGUUCUUGACGC